AUAUACAGUUAUCAAAGUGUGAUUCCUGGAGGUGUAACUUGUGCUAGCAUGAUAUAUUCUGUGCAUCCCUGUGUGAAAAUUUUUUGAAAAUUCAAUUACACCUACCUUAUUUGCUUUGGAUUACCAAAAAUAGUGACUAUUCAUGCAGGAUUCACGUAGGAAUAUUUUUGUUUUACUAAGUUCAAUCUCUUGUUAUCAUUUUAAAAAAAUUCUAUCUCUUAUAGUUAUUUUUUAAUGAUUUUUUGAAAGCGGUGGAUUUCCAUGCUUUCCAUGCGUACAGGGUAAUGUGACCUAGUAGAAGCCUUCCGGCACGAUAGUACUACUUGCAUUUGUUUUUCAUUGCUGUACCAUUAUCUGUGGCAGAAAGUGCGAAACAGUACCACUUUUAUUGUACAUGUAUAAUCAUUUUUGGUUAUGAUGUUUAUUUGUUUGUGUUUUAUUUUCUUAAAAUAUCCUUCAUUGAUGAUAUUUUUUUUAAAUAACAUUUUAUUUCUAUGGCAUCAUAACAUUGCAUACCAGAGAAGUAAAUUGCAGUCAGUACAAUCAUGUCAGCUGAACAGUAAUUGCUUGCUAUGUUUCCUUCAUUCAGCAUAAUUCCUUGAGUAUACAAGUUGGACAUAAGUAUAUGCAGUCAUAAUCUCUAGACUAAAUAUGACAAAUAAAGUGAAAAGUUUAACCCACUCCCACGACAAAAAGUUAGCCUUUCUGGGAAGGGUUCUUGAAUGAUGGUUUAUUUUUUUUUCAGCACACAAAUAUGGCAGCAGACUUGCCACCAAGUAAGGUGACAGAACAUGUGAAGGAGGGAACUCUGCCAGACAGGUGAAUGCACUAACCACCAGAAUAUUGGCAUCAUCACUUGAGCACCCCAUUGAUGCUCUGCAAGGAGUACAAGAGGAGACAAACCUCAAACUGCAGCAGUAGAAGGCAGUAUCCAGGGAGUGUCUAACGCAGCAUUAGUCCAGCACAUUCUCAAACAAGGCACAGACUUAAAAUUGAUUCUGCAGGAAGCAAAAGAUAUGCUGAAUCAUUUGACUGCUCUGCUAAGCAAAGACAAACCUACUCCAGCACUCUGGCAGGAGCUGUUAGAGCUGCAAGGAUGCCUUAAUGAUGACUCAUGAAUUACUUGAUGUUUAUGUUUCUGCCCCUUAUUCAAGAAACAACCUUCAUCCACGAACACUCAUGUAACACCAUAUACUCGCGUCAGAUAAGAGUUUUUGACGCAUUGGAAUAUGUUACUCCAGACUGAGGUGCAUCACCAUUGGAAAGGUCUGUGAUAAGCAGAUAAAUUCCACAAGGAAAGGUGUGCAAUAAAUAUUAGCGCUUCAAUGGAUACUUGUUAGGUGUGGCACAAAAAUGAGAAACAC